AUGCUUUGCUUGUUCCUAUUUUUUGCCUUUUACUGUAGGUGUGUAUCUGUUGUGUACUUCUUAAUAAAUGAAGGAGGAGAGGAGCCUUACAAAUGGAAGCACUGUGCUAUGCGUAGUCCCCACCUCACACCCCAGGGAGUCACUGCCCCUCCCCUUGACGGGAGAAUUGUCUCUACACUGGGGACAGCCGGCGCGAGGCGGUCGGAACUGCAGGGCUCCACGUCCUUUGAAAGUGGGUGCUGCGGCCUUCCCAAGCCCGCUGGCCUGGCACCCAGCCCCCUCCCCAUCUUCACGUCUUUGGUGACACAGCAACGCUGUCCCGGGAACGCCCAUUCCUGCUGCUGCCACCCCACGCAGGGCUGUGGAAGAAUCCCAGGCGAAAGCUCGCAAAAUCAGAAUCUGUCUGACGUUUGUUUUAGGAGGGCUUACUCAAAAUUAGACAAGGGCUGGGCAGUUGAAAUAUACCCAGGCCUCUUUCUCAAGAUCAUUGUUUUUCUGGAGGAAAAAAAAUCUGCUCCUUGCUCCAUCUCAUUUUCCUGUUUGCUUUCCAGCUCCACGGAGCUUAUUCUGGGCGCGUCACUUCGACUGAGCUGCUCUCUUGGUGGAGUUUCCUAUCCACUGGUCUGCAGACUGCGGGAGGCGGGCAGUUUCCCCGGGGCCCCUUCUCGUCUGCUGGCUGGGUCGGGCCCCACAGUCCUCCCCGCGUCCCCUCCUGACCAGCUGUGCUGUGAGCUCACACCUGCUCACAAACAAAAGAGUCGAGAGGCUGUGAUGUGGAUGAAGUGGCCCUGUAGGCGUGAGUGCUGGCGUGAGUGGAGAGAGGGCGCCAUCACAGACGGGAAGGGCCAUUCUCCCGCUCAGGACACCCCCACUCUCCGUCCCCCAUGCACCCAUCUCACGUGUGGAAUCUGUAUAAUGAAGAACUCGUGGCCGGUGCCGCGGCUCACUAGGCUAAUCCUCUGCCUUGCGGCGCCGGCACACCGGGUUCUAGUCCCGGUUGGGGCGCCGGAUUCUGUCCCGGUUGCCCCUCUUCCAGGCCAGCUCUCUGCUGUGGCCAGGGAGUGCAGUGGAGGAUGGCCCAAGUGCUUGGGCCCUGCACCCCAUGGGAGACCAGGAGAAGCACCUGGCUCCUGCCUUUGGAUCAGCGGCAGCGGCCAUUGGAGGGUGAACCCACGGCAAAGGAAGAUCUUUCUCUCUGUCUCUCUCUCUCACUGUCCACUCUGCCUGUCAAAAACAAACAAAAAACAAACAAAAAAACUCACGUCGGGAUCCUGA
rnacentral:lncRNA from 1 species